UUAGUCUCUUCUUCGGGGCAAGAGAAAGUAUAAAGGCGUGAUAAACAGACCUUGCUCCCAAUCAUUCAAAACGAAGUCCUCCCCAGUACCACCAUACACUCCGAUCAAUGGGCAGCUUACACUGGAUUGGACCAGCUCGGGUAUUCGCACCAGUCUGUCAAUCACAGCGAGAACUUCAUUGAUCCGCAGACUGGCGCACACACACAGACCAUUGAGUCCACGUGGCACCACAUGAAGACGACACUACUCCGCAAUAUGCGAGGUGUUGAGCCUGAGUUACUGGAUUCCUAUUUGGCAGAGCUUUGGGCAAGAAAGUUGUACCGCGACCACGCCGCAUUAUUGGAGAAGCUUUUUGACUGGAUCGUUGAAGCUUAUCCGAUCCGCAAUAUUUAAUUUUUUUAUUUAUCUUUUUUAUUUUGAACAGUUCUUUUCAGAGCUACGAGCCUUCGGGUUCACUUUUAAACAAGUAUUUAUGAAAUAAGAUUAGUUAUUUGCGCUAGUUCACGCAAUAAGACAAGUUACGUAAGGUUCUAUUGUUACGUCAUAGUUGUAUUGUGACGUUAAAAAACGCUUUUUACUUAUAGGUAAACAAUAUGGCGCAUGCAAUUACGGUGACGCAGCAGUUUUUCGCAGAUUUUCAAAGUUAAUUUUCGAUACGAACGCCCGAGUUUUUUUUAAACAAAUUUUCACUGGUCACCAGCGGCAGGAUUACCAAUCUCUUGCUUUCUCAACCGGCUUUUUGAUACCUUUAAAUCACAUUUCAGUGUUUCUACCUUAAUAGAAAAUAUUUUUUAUAAUUGUGUGUAAAUUCUUCGCCGGCCAACAUCUGCUCUCUGCCAGUGCUUUUAUUGCUCAUAGUGUGAAACUCACCUUCAGUACUCACGCUGAUAAAUGUUUUGCAGAAAGAAAAUAAUAUCAGAAAAUAAGAGAUGGGUACCAUAACACCACGUAAGUUAUAUGUGAAUGCCAAUAUCUAAUUUAGUUGAUAACUUACUUUUAUUAUUUCUAGUUCAUGAAAGCUAGACAAGAUGCGAG